GAGGAAUCUUGCGCAAUGGGGGAAACCCUGACGCAGCAACGCCGCGUGAGUGAGGAAGGUCUUCGGAUCGUAAAGCUCUGUCAGUUGGGAAGAAAUGGCUGGAGGUUAAUACCCUUUAGUCUUGACGGUACCAACAGAGGAAGCACCGGCUAACUCCGUGCCAGCAGCCGCGGUAAUACGGGGGGUGCAAGCGUUGUUCGGAAUUAUUGGGCGUAAAGAGCGUGUAGGCGGUCUGAUAUGUCAGAUGUGAAAGCCCUGUGCUUAACCCAGGAAGUGCAUUUGAAACUGUCAGGCUCGAGUAGGGGAGAGGGAAGUGGAAUUCCUGGUGUAGAGGUGAAAUUCGUAGAUAUCAGGAGGAACACCGGUGGCGAAGGCGACUUCCUGGCCCUAUACUGACGCUGAGACGCGAGAGCGUGGGUAGCAAAC
rnacentral:rRNA from 1 species